CUGGGAGAAUAACUAUGGUUGUUUACUCGCUUUGGAAGCGAGAGGUUGUAGGUUCGAGUACUGCCUCUCAGA
rnacentral:tRNA from 1 species